UAUUGCACACUUCCCGCUCUUU
rnacentral:miRNA from 1 species